rnacentral:rRNA from 1 species
CCGGAAGUGCGGGUCUUUGGGCCAACCUCCCAUCCGUGUCUAUUGUACCCUGUUGCUUCGGCGGGCCCGCCGCUUGUCGGCCGCCGGGGGGGCGCCUCUGCCCCCCGGGCCCGUGCCCGCCGGAGACCCCAACACGAACACUGUCUGAAAGCCUGCAGUCUGAGUUGAUUGAAUGCAAUCAGUUAAAACUUUCAACAAUGGAUCUCUUGGUUCCGGCAUCGAUGAAGAACGCAGCGAAAUGCGAUAACUAAUGUGAAUUGCAGAAUUCAGUGAAUCAUCGAGUCUUUGAACGCACAUUGCGCCCCCUGGUAUUCCGGGGGGCAUGCCUGUCCGAGCGUCAUUGCUGCCCUCAAGCCCGGCUUGUGUGUUGGGUCGCCGUCCCCCUCUCCGGGGGGACGGGCCCGAAAGGCAGCGGCGGCACCGCGUCCGAUCCUCGAGCGUAUGGGGCUUUGUCACAUGCUCUGUAGGAUUGGCCGGCGCCUGCCGACGUUUUCCAACCAUUCUUUCCAGGUUGACCUCGGAUCAGGUAGGGAUACCCGCUGAACUUAAGCAUAUCAAUAAGCGGGAGGAAUC